rnacentral:rRNA from 1 species
GAUGAACGCUGGCGGCGUGACUAAUACAUGCAAGUCGAGCGAACGGACGAGAGGCUUGCUUCUCUGAUGUUAGCGGCGGACGGGUGAGUAACACGUGGAUAACCUACCUAUAAGACUGGGAUAACUUCGGGAAACCGGAGCUAAUACCGGAUAAUAUUUUGAACCGCAUGGUUCAAAAGUGAAAGACGGUCUUGCUGUCACUUAUAGAUGGAUCCGCGCUGCAUUAGCUAGUUGGUAAGGUAACGGCUUACCAAGGCAACGAUGCAUAGCCGACCUGAGAGGGUGAUCGGCCACACUGGAACUGAGACACGGUCCAGACUCCUACGGGAGGCAGCAGUAGGGAAUCUUCCGCAAUGGGCGAAAGCCUGACGGAGCAACGCCGCGUGAGUGAUGAAGGUCUUCGGAUCGUAAAACUCUGUUAUUAGGGAAGAACAUAUGUGUAAGUAACUGUGCACAUCUUGACGGUACCUAAUCAGAAAGCCACGGCUAACUACGUG